UACGUAGGUGACCAGCGUUGUCCGGAUUUACUGGGCGUAAAGAGCGCGCAGGCGGUCGUUCAAGUCGAGUGUGAAAGCCCCCGGCUCAACUGGGGAGGGUCACUCGAUACUGAUCGACUUGAAGGCAGGAGAGGGAAGCGGAAUUCCCGGUGUAGUGGUGAAAUGCGUAGAUAUCGGGAGGAACACCAGUGGCGAAGGCGGCUUCCUGGCCUGUUCUUGACGCUGAGGCGGCGAAAGCUAGGGGAGCAAACGGG
rnacentral:rRNA from 1 species